AUUGAACGCUGGCGGCAUGCUUUACACAUGCAAGUCGACUGUGGCGGACGGGUGAGUAACGCGUAAAGAACUUGCCUCACAGUUAGGGACAACAUUUGGAAACGAAUGCUAAUACCUGAUACUGUGAGAGAGCUUUGCGUCCCAUUAGCUAGUUGGAGAGGUAACGGCUCCCCAAGGCGAUGAUGGGUAGCCGGCCUGAGAGGGUGAUCGGCCACAAGGGGAACGAGAGACGGCACUUACUCCUACGGGGGGCAGCAGUGGGGAAUAAUGGACAAUGGACCAGAGGCUGAUCCAGUUAUUCUGUGUUCACGAUGAAGUUUUCGGAAUGUAAAGUUCUUUCAGUUGGGAAGCGGUACCAACAGAAGAAGCGACGGCUAACUACGUGCCAGCAGCCGCGGUAAUUC
rnacentral:rRNA from 1 species